rnacentral:rRNA from 1 species
AUACAGAGGGUGCGAGCGUUAAUCGGAAUAACUGGGCGUAAAGGGCAUGUAGGUUGAUGAGUAAGUUGGCUGUGAAAGUCCCGGGCUUAACCUGGGAAAGCCAGUCAAAACUGUUCAUCUAGAGUACAGUAGAGGGUAGUGGAAUUUCCGGUGUAGCGGUGAAAUGCGUAGAUAUCGGAAGGAACACCAGUGGCGAAGGCGGCUACCUGGACUGAUACUGACACUGAGAUGCGAAAGCGUGGGGAGCAAACAGGAUUAGAAACCCCAGUAGUCC